rnacentral:rRNA from 1 species
UACGUAGGGGGCUAGCGUUGUUCGGAAUUACUGGGCGUAAAGCGCACGUAGGCGGCUUUGUAAGUUAGAGGUGAAAGCCCGGAGCUCAACUCCGGAAUUGCCUUUAAGACUGCAUCGCUCGAAUCAUGGAGAGGUGAGUGGAAUUCCGAGUGUAGAGGUGAAAUUCGUAGAUAUUCGGAAGAACACCAGUGGCGAAGGCGACUCACUGGACAUGUAUUGACGCUGAGGUGCGAAAGCGUGGGGAGCAAACAGG